UUUUAAGUAAUGGAAACAGAUGGAAAGAGAUGAGGUGCUUCUCAGUCAUGACUCUGUGGAGUUUUGGGUUGGGGAAGAGGAACAUUGAGGACUGUGUUCAAGGGGAAGCCUGCUGCCUUGUGGAGGAGCUGAGGAAAACCAAAUGCUCACCCUGUGAUCCCGCCCUUUUCCUCGGCUGUGCUCCUUGCAAUGUGAUCUGUUCCAUUAUCUUCCAUAAUCGAUUUGAUAAUAAAGAUGAGCAUUUUUAAACUUUUUGGAAAAAAUAUAAAUGAAAACCUCAAGAUUUUGAGCUCCCCAUGGAUCCAGGGAGUCAUAAAAUAUUUCUUAAGAAUAUUGCUGGAGGAAGCCCGGGGCCAAGCCAGACCAGACUGGAGGAGGAAGCCUGGCCCCGCCCCGAGCAAUAGUCCAGAGGAAGCCCAUCAACCCUUAAAACCCAUCAAAGGGGUUGUGGCUACCAGCAUGGUUCUGCAGCUGAUCCAGGAAAAGUUCAAUCAAGAGACUGAAUGAAUUUACCACUGAAGCAUUAAUAACCACUAUACGUGAUCUCUUUGGAGCUGGGACAGAGACAAUCAGCACCACUCUGAAAUAGGGACUCCUGCUCCUGUUGAAGCACCCAGAGGUCACAGCUAAAGUCCAGGGAGAGAUUGACCGUGUGAUUGGCAGACACCGCAGCCCCUGCAUGCAGGAAAAAAGCCAUAAGCCCUACACAAAGGCUGUCGUGCAUGAGAUCCAG